AACGAACGCUGGCGGCAUGCCUAACACAUGCAAGUCGAACGAGACCUUCGGGUCUAGUGGCGCACGGGUGCGUAACGCGUGGGAACCUGCCCUUAGGUUCGGAAUAACUCCCCGAAAGGGGUGCUAAUACCGGAUAAUGUCUUCGGACCAAAGAUUUAUCGCCUUUGGAUGGGCCCGCGUUGGAUUAGCUAGUUGGUAGGGUAAAAGCCUACCAAGGCGACGAUCCAUAGCUGGUCUGAGAGGAUGAUCAGCCACACUGGGACUGAGACACGGCCCAGACUCCUACGGGAGGCAGCAGUGGGGAAUAUUUGACAAUGGGCGGAAGCCUGAUCCAGCCAUUCCGCGUGGAGGAUGAAGGCCUUAGGGUUGUAAAGCUCUUUUACCCGGGAUGAUAAUGACAGUACCGGGAGAAUAAGCUCCGGCUAACUCCGUG
rnacentral:rRNA from 1 species